UUGGGCAUUUUCAAUGGAAAUAUUUGGAAUAUUGCCAAAUCUUGCGACCGAAAUUUCCUCACUGAUUCGCCGAUUUUCUUUUCAGCAUCCAUUGGACAGCCUGCUGAGAGAGAAGAAGACGUCUCGCGUUACUUAACACGAUGACUCUACUGUUCGUGUGGAAGUUCUCCGAUUCCGUAACGGAGCGAAAGUAAAGGCCAAGGACACAGCUCAAGUAGUAGAGGGAGGUCAGUGUUCGCCGGUGUCGAUCUUCCACCGCGUCAGCAUGCUCCGCUUUUGACAGGAAAUGGAAAAAUAAGACGAUCCGUUUCUAUGUUGCUCGCCAACUUGGCGAAUAUCGUCCUGUGUUUCGCACGUGAACCAUUCAGAAAGAAGAUCUUCCACGUUUCUACUCGUCUUUCUCCGACUCUUAGUACGUUGACUGUCUUGGUAGUCAUCGGUGACUCAAAUUACUAAAUUUUUUGCAAUGAUUAAUAUUUAAUAUUUAAUGAUAUUCGUAGAGAAAGGUGAGCAAAUAUAAUAGAAGAUUCUGCGAAGAUUAAACCGUACGCCGUAGUAUAUUUCAAUUUAUCGCGUCUCACAGGGUAAAAUGUGUAAAAUUCGUAUGGCAGUCGACGUGUUGAAACAAAUCAAUCUGGACCUCUUAAUUAAUAAUAAAAUAAUAUAACGUUAGUAUAAUGCAGCAUCGAAUUUGAAGAUAAAAUUCGAUUAUUUUUACUCGAUACUCCGUUGCGAAUUUUCCCAUUACAAAUUUCGAGAAAAACGAGCUUUAAAAAUCUGAAACAAAAAUUUGAGAAACAUGUAAUAAAAAAGAAGUUGUGGAAUUUUUAAAUGGGGAGUAUAACUCGUGGGCUACCCUGUACGUAACAUCCAGUAGAAAAAUUGCUAAUUUCCCCAUGAGUCUACAGAAAUACCAAUUUAAAAAGAUUAUCGAAGAAUUGGAAACGCAGGAACUGUUAACAAAGGCGGCCGAUGAAUUUCCAUUUCGUUUGUUUUUUUUUUUUUUUUUACUUUUCUUCCAUAGACGUAGAAUAAAGCGUAACAAUACACCUGUGACCUUGGCAUUUUUGCAGGCAUCGUGUUUUAUCGAUCUAAGUAGAUAUAGGUAUUCGUAAUGAAAUUGUAUUUUGAAACUUCGAGCAGAUGAUUCGUCACGUGUUCUCGGGCUCGUAAUCAGACCAGCAGUGUUAGAAUUCGAAUACGAGAGUCGCGACUAAUGUUAUGUCUCAAGUAACUUUAGCAUGAAAGAUAGUUCAUCAUUUUCAACAUUCUUUCCGAACACGAUUUAGAUAAAUAAUUUUUUAUGUAAAAAUGAAUUUCUUCUUAGCUAUCUCUAAAAUUAUCUUUAAUAUUCCUAAUAACGAGUCUGUUUCUUUACUUCUCGAAAGCUUUCUAUCUUCCACAUUCCAUCUUAAUUAAUACGUUCUAUUUCUUCCUUUUGAAAUAACUUCUUGCAUGGAUUCUUAAAAUUUAAAGAUUUUUAAAAUGAACCGACUUCUUCCAAGACUCGAUUUCAUAGAAAUAAAAAUUAAUGCUCUCUUUCUUAUACGUAAAUCUACAAAUUUAUUUUAUCUUCUUCUUUUAACAAUCAAAUUUCAAAAUAUUCUGCUAUCCUCAAUAUAGCUCAAUACUAUCCUCACUGUGACAAUUUAAGAAAUCUGUUAAGCAUGUUUUACUUAUUUAUUCUACCGUCUACUCUAUUUCCUCGUCUGUAAGUUUACAGAUUCAUUUACUUCUUUAUUUUGUCAUACAGUUACGUUUCAAGAUAUUCCGCUAUUUAAUAGACAAAAUUUCACAGAAACUGUUGUACCUGUAGCAUUUUUAAAGAUAUACAUGUUCCCGCUAGUAAUUCAAAUAAGAAUAGGAAAUAGAGACGAGUGCCACCUGGCGAGAGAAUGAUUUUCAACUAAAAAUCGAGAUUUAGUAACAGUAACGUAGAAUGAGGUAGCAGGUCGACGAAUAGAUACCAUGACGUCAUAAACCAGAGAGAAAAGAUAAGAAAAGAUAGGAAAAGAGAGACGGUGAGAAAAAAGUAUGUUAAGUUAGGUUAUGUGAUCCUGAUACUUCAUAUUAAAUUAAGUCAUGCGACGAAAAUUAAUAAAUCACACGUUUUCUGAUAUUGGUGCGUGCACUGUCAGAGUAGCAUUACAAAGAUAAAGCGAUCUUAGAAACACUCGUGUCUAGUUUUCAUGUGAAAUUUUGUUUUAAAUAAUUAGUUAUUAAUUAUUUAGUAAGGACGUGUUUCGAAAUGACACGAAUUAAGUCUAUAAUUUUUGUAUUAAUUUCAUAUUCGCUUCCUUGUAAUUAAUAUCGUAUUUUUGCGUUUGUACGCGUAAAGGAAAUCCUCUAGCUACCAUCUGGUGUCAUCUUUAUGAAUAUUUGAUGAGUGGUUUAUUUGUUAUCCAAAUACAUUUGUUAACAGCC